AAAACUUUAAGUUAAUUUAAACUGUUAAUCUUCAAAAUUAAAAAUAUUUUUUCAAAUAAGUUUUU
rnacentral:tRNA from 1 species